GAACCGUACAAACGUUUAUUCGGAAUUAUUGGGCUUAAAGGGUGCGUAGGCGGUGCGGUAAGUGAGGUGUGAAAGCCCUCGGCUCAACCGAGGAAUUGCGCUUCAUACUGCCACACUCGAGAGAGACAGAGGUAAGCGGAACUGAUGGUGGAGCGGUGAAAUGCGUUGAUAUCAUCAGGAACACCAGUGGCGAAAGCGGCUUACUGGGUCUCUUCUGACGCUGAGGCACGAAAGCUAGGGGUAGCGAACGGGAUUAGAUACCCCGGUAGUCCUAGCUGUAAACGAUGAGCACUUGGUCGGGGAUCCCCCUCAUAGGUUCCCGAUCGUAGCGAAAGUGUUAAGUGCUCCGCCUGGGGAGUAUGGUCGCAAGUCUG
rnacentral:rRNA from 1 species